rnacentral:rRNA from 1 species
GACGAACGCUGGCGGCGUGCCUAAUACAUGCAAGUAGGACGCACAGUCUAUACCGUAGCUUGCUACACCAUAGGCUGUGAGUUGCGAACGGGUGAGUAACGCGUAGGUAACCUGCCUAUUAGAGGGGGAUAACUAUUGGAAACGAUAGCUAAUACCGCAUAACAGUAUGUAACACAUGUUAGAUGCUUGAAAGAUGCAAUUGCAUCGCUAGUAGAUGGACCUGCGUUGUAUUAGCUAGUAGGUAGGGUAAUGGCCUACCUAGGCGACGAUACAUAGCCGACCUGAGAGGGUGAUCGGCCACACUGGGACUGAGACACGGCCCAGACUCCUACGGGAGGCAGCAGUAGGGAAUCUUCGGCAAUGGGGGGAACCCUGACCGAGCAACGCCGCGUGAGUGAAGAAGGUUUUCGGAUCGUAAAGCUCUGUAGUUAAGGAAGAACGAGUGUGAGAAUGGAAAGUUCAUACUGUGACGGUACUUAACCAGAAAGAGACGGCUAACUACGUG